rnacentral:lncRNA from 12 species
AUGAAACAAAAGGAUGGCUUUAGUGAAAAAAGUUGUAUGAAAGUUGUAGCAGUUACAGCAUUGACCUGUGCUCUACCUUUGAUAAACAUAACAACCACAAGUGAAGAGAAUAACUGUGAUACUUCAAAACACCUUUUUCAUCAUCCCAGUGUUCGGCAGAGACAUGAAUUAAAAAGAGGCACCUUGUCUAGCUGUCUUAAAAACUCAUCCACAUCUAUCCAUUCCAAUCAUGAGGAAGAAAGCAAUCUCAGAAGCACCACUGUGUACUGUGGCCUUCCAACCAAGACAAAAGCCAUUAAAAAAAAACAAGCUUUACUGCAAACAGCAAGUUUAAGUUUCUCUGGAGAAGGAGAGUGAAAUCCAACAUACUUUAUUUUUCUUAGCUGAAUUAUGAACGCAUUGUUUUCAUCUGCAGAGUGAGAC